CCUUCCAUUGCCCCGGCUUCGCCCAAGGGCGCCGUCUUUCUCCGAAACCCUUCCCAAAACCCGAGGCACGCCGGCGGCCGCCGCCGUCCGUCCACGCGCGGCACCACUUCCUAUGGCCCGGCGUCUGCUCCACCUCCGGCCCCGCCUCCAGGCGCUCGCCCCCCGCCUCGUCCCUUCGCGGCAGUACAUGUCCGACAUGCGCCGCUCCGUCUUCCUCGACCGCCUCCUCCGCUCCCUCCGCUCCGAGAUCUCCUCCUGCCGCGCCGAGCCCGCCCCGCGGCCGCCGCCCUCCGCCGCGCCGUUCGCCCUCGACGACCGUCCCGGCGAGCAGUGGGUCCGCCUCCGCCGCGCGUUCGGGGAGCAGCAGGAGGAGGAGGUCAGGGUGGAUGCCUCGAUGGUCGACGGCGCCGUGGCGCCCACCCGCUCGGGCGUGGCCGCGGAAGACGGCGGGCCACAGGACAGGAUGCACAUUAGCGUCCACGUCGAGGUCUCCAAGCCCGCGCGGCCUGACUUUGCGCUCAAGUUCGAGUGCUCUGCCUGGCCCGAGGAGAUGGACGUGGAGAGGGUCUUCCCCGUCCGCCGCAGCGGGCCAACGCCGGAGCAGCAAUACAUGGGCCGCCAGUUCAGGGAGUUAGAUGAGGAGAUGCAAACCGCAGUGCGUGAUUACCUGGAGCAGAGAGGGGUGAAUGACGAGCUAGCUGCAUUCCUGCACACGUACAUGGAAAACAAGGAGCAGACGGAGCUUGUAGGGUGGCUUAAAAAUAUCGAGUGCUAUCUGAAGAAGUAGGCAGCAUCUUCUUGGCACUUUGAGUUAGAUUAUUAUUACUUGGUGUUUUACAAAAGUUAACACAGACAAAUUGGGAUGUUGCCACAGCAUCAAAAAGUCCUUGCUCUUUCAGAAGACGUGACAAGAACUGGGAUGUUGGUGUUUCAGCAUCAAAUUGGGAUGUUGUUGGAGUUUCCAGGUAUUGAAUUUGUUGUAUCAUCACGGCAGCAUAUAUUCUGACGAACCAAGAUACUGAGCCUAGCCACCAGUAGUACAAUGCACGGCUGCACCUAGGGCACUUACAGUUGCACAAAUGCAGGGACCGUCCUUGGUGGCGGCAUUGAUGGAGUUUUUACUGUACUCUGUUAUCUCGUAGAAUACGGUACAUGUCAUAUAGAUGCAGGAACCGUCCCUGGAAACAGGAUUGAUGGAGUUCCUUACUGUACCAAUCCUGUUGUCUCCCAGGAUACGGUACAAACAGCUAGCCAUACAGAGAUCGAGCAUUAAAAUUCAUGCCUUCAGCCCUUUCAGAGGUUUAGGUAACACAAGCAACUGAUGGAUUCAUAGCAAAAGCAAUGCACGCAACUUGAAUUUCAUCUUGGUACAGUAUAGUUAUAGUUGUAUACAUACACUAAGUUAGCAAGUUCAAAAGGAUCCUUCUGCACAAACCGUUCAUUAGGAUUUCUCGGCUUCAUCUACUUCCAUUGACCCAUUUUGUGCCAAAAAUUGGCUAUCCAGCAUAUUGGCAUGCCAAGAUUUGACGACUCCAAAGCUUGCCAAAGAUUGCCAAGUUUUGAGAGAUUGGCAAAGUAAGUUGGUUGCCAACCAAUUGAUAGCCAAUCUUUUGCCUUGCCUGCAUAUUGGACAAGGCAAGCACUUAAACUGACCUUUUCAGGUAAGUCAAGGACGCCAUCUUGGACUUUCUUGUGUACUCUUUCAGCGGUCAGAAUGAAUGCCUACAUUACAUAAUGAUGCAAAAUUAUCCUAAAGGAAGCGUAAUUGUACCCGAUGUACAGGGGAUCAAAUCAAAAUUACCUCAUCAACAUUUUGUGUGGUUUUUGCAGAGGCCUCCAUAAACACGAGAUCGUGCCUCUCGGCGAACUCUCGCCCUUCCUCGUAGCUGACCGCACGCAUGUGAGACAGAUCGCAUUUGUUUCCGAUCAGCGCCAAUGUUACGCCGGCUCUCGAUAGCUCUCUUGCUCUUUCAAGCAAUGUAGCAAUAUGAUCAAAAGUCUCCCUCCUGAAGCAAGGGAGUUAGAUGAGGAGAUGCAAAGUGCAGUGCGUGAUUACCUGGAGCAGAGAGGGGUGAAUGACGAGCUAGCAGCAUUCCUGCACACGUACAUGGAAAACAAGGAGCAGACCGAGCUUGUAGGGUGGCUUAAAAAUAUCGAGUGCUAUCUGAAGAAGUAGACAGCAUCUUCUUGGCACUUUGAGUUAGAUUAUUAUUACUUGGUGUUUUACAAAAGUUAACACAGACAAAUUGGGUUGUUGCCACAGCAUCAAAAAGUCCUUGCUCUUUCAGAAGACGUGACAAGAAUUGGGAUGUUGGUGUUUCAGCGUCAAAUUGGGAUGUUGUUGGAGUUUCCAGGUA